GGAUGAGUAAAUUCUUGCCAGAAAUGAAGACGGCCACAGUUAUGUAGUGGGGGUGGUGGGGGGGGAGGCUGCUGUUUACUCAGGAAAGCUGCCCAUUGAGGCGCUGUAAGGAGUGGACCAAAAAAAAGAAAAAAGAAAAAGAAAUAAAUAAACCAACUGAGGUACAACAGUGUCUCUCCCUCCCUCCCUCCCUCUCCCUCUGCAAUGUACAUAUUUCUCUCUCUAUCCCCCACCAAACUCUUUCUAAUUUCUUGAAUUUCGUGUUUCUCGUUUAGUGGGGUGCCCCCUGUCUUUGCCAUCUUUGUGAUCUGGUUCAAGGGAGCCAGGAGAGGAGGCAGAAGCAAUCAAGGAAUUGAGGAGUUUCAGGAGGCAGAGAUUAAAUGCCUGUGCGUGAACAAAUUAGACAAAUGCUGUGAAACGAGGGAUCUUCAAAUUAACCUUUUAUUUCAGCUUUCAGUCAACGCAUCAUUAAAAAUGCAGAGUUACAAGCCAACCUUUGAGAUGGGGGGUACAAUCGACGGCACGACCACCUCAGGAUGGACUUUGCCACGCAGAAGCCAUGCCCUACUCUGACGUUUCCCAGGCACUCGCUGAAUUGCUGAAGCUGGCAUUGAACUUGGGAUCCUCCUAAGACAGGCAGAGGCCACCGUGCCCGACGUCUACCUUACUGUCCCAGUGUUCAGAGAAGAGAUGUGGCCUGAUUUCCUAUUUUGUUGAGAAGGUGCUGGCGAUGAAACCCAGGGCCUUGUGCUUGACAGGCAAGCACUUUAUGAAUGGAGCGGGCUGACAAACCUCGCGUUGCUAGCUUUUGCAUGAACACUGACUACUAUGUGCAGAACUGAGCAGGGUCGCAAAGGUUCGAGUUAUACAGAGACAGAUACAAAUGAAGGCAGACGUGGCGAGCUUUCUCCUGAUUUCAGUAACCCAGAGUGUGUGCGUGGUGUUUCGCUCUACGUAAACAACCACUGUUUGUGUUUCUGUUUCUGUUUUUUUUUUU